AGGUUACUGCUAUCGGUGUUCGCCUAAGCCAUGCGAGUCAUAUGUUCUUCGUGAACAUGGCGUACUGCUCAGUAACACGUGGAUAACCUGCCCUUGGGUCCGGCAUAACCCCGGGAAACUGGGGAUAAUUCCGGAUAACGCAUAUAUGCUGGAAUGCUUUCUGCGUAAAAUGGAUUCGUCUGCCCAAGGAUGGGUCUGCGGCCUAUCAGGUAGUAGUGGGUGUAAUGUACCUACUAGCCGACGACGGGUACGGGUUGUGAGAGCAAGAGCCCGGAGAUGGAUUCUGAGACAUGAAUCCAGGCCCUACGGGGCGCAGCAGGCGCGAAAACUUUACAAUGCGGGAAACCGUGAUAAGGGGACACCGAGUGCCAGCAUCAUAUGCUGGCUGUCCGGGUGUGUAAAAUACGCCCGUUAGCAAGGGCCGGGCAAGACCGGUGCCAGCCGCCGCGGUAACACCGGCGGCCCGAGUGGUGAUCGUGAUUAUUGGGUCUAAAGGGUCCGUAGCCGGUUUGGUCAGUCCUCCGGGAAAUCUGAUAGCUCAACUAUUAGGCUUUCGGGGGAUACUGCCAGGCUUGGAACCGGGAGAGGUAAGAGGUACUACAGGGGUAGGAGUGAAAUCUUGUAAUCCCUGUGGGACCACCUGUGGCGAAGGCGUCUUACCAGAACGGGUUCGACGGUGAGGGACGAAAGCUGGGGGCACGAACCGGAUUAGUUACCCGGGUAGUCCCAGCCGUAAACGAUGCUCGCUAGGUGUCAGGCAUGGCGCGACCGUGUCUGGUGCCGCAGGGAAGCCGUGAAGCGAGCCACCUGGGAAGUACGGCCGCAAGGCUGAAACUUGA
rnacentral:rRNA from 1 species